UCAGAGACUUGGUGCAGCCUCCAGCACAGAAAUUUCAGCCAGUGUUAUUGCCUGUCAGUUGUAAUCCCUCAGAAUUUCAGCCAGCAAGGGUAUAAUAAGGUUGAACUACCUCACUUUUCUCAGUCUGUCUUUGUUGGAGAGGUGCUGCAUCCCUCUGACCAUAUUUGUGACCCUCCUCUGGAGUUGCUCCAACAGAUCGAUCUUGUGCUGAGGACCCCAGACCUGGAUGCAAUAUUCCAGAUCCCAGGCUGCUUCUUGACUCACCCAACAACUCUUCUCACCAUACAUCUCUGUAACUACAGUUCUUUAUCAAUUCCAAGAUGUUGCUUUCAUUAUAGUCUUUCUAACACGACUGUUGAAGUAGGAUAUAUCCUGUGAUUCUAGCAUCAGGCUUUUUGGCACACCCUUGAAUCCGAAAUUGUCUGGAAAAGGUGGUGGAUGCUGUUUUCAAGCUGGUAAAGCUGCACCUGGGGUGAGGAUCUAACCUCAAAUUUCUGAUGAUUG